AGACUGUAGAAGGCCUGGGCUUGGGCCCUGGUUUUGCCACUGACAAAAUCCUGAGUGACUUGAGCUAAUCUGUGCCUUCCUCUGGGCCCCAUUGGCUACCUGGCACUAGGGGGUGGACAGAAUAAUGUUAGGCUUUCCUGGCUCUGGUGGCCUCUGAGUCAGAGGACUUUGUGCUCAGUGCAGGAACAGGGAACUCACUCUCAUCUGUAAGCGCAAAGUGAGCCUGCAGUAGUCAUCCGUGUUUAAGUGACUUGCACCAGUGCUGGCUGGAGAUUCAGCUACUGUUCAUACAUUUGGUCUUUGUGGACUGAAUCAGUUGCCCAUUUUACAGAUGAGGAAGUUGAGGCCUAGGAUUCAUUCAUGUAUCCUAGUCCCUGUUCUCCCAGCAAUAAGGAUCAGGGCCCUUGUCUGUAGUAUUCUUACUGCCUGUUCACUUUUUAUCUUCACUGACGUGUUAAUCUUUUCAUAACCCUACUAGGGAGGAGAUAUUGACCCAGUUUUACAGAUGAGGAAACUGAGGCUUGGCCUAGAGAGAUGAAAUGACUUUCUCUUCUUCGAGCCUCACAGUAGCCCUAAGAUUGUUAUGUGUGCCAUUUUCUAGAUGAGGAAACUGAGGCCUGGAAAUGUGACUGCUUAUGGCCUGGAGUCCCCAGGGGCCACGUGGCCAGUGAGGCUCCUUCCCAGGCCCCCCCUCCUACUCCUUUCUGGUACCUGGCUGGUUCUGCCUUGGAGGGAGCCUCUGCACCUCUUGCAUUCAAAGCUUGGACUCGGAGAAGAGUUUUCUUCCUGGGCUGUAACCUGUCCCUGAAACAUGCUCUUCCCCAAGGGGCUCCAGAAGCAGUUAGAGCCAAGGAGCUUCUCAGGGAACUCCAAUGGAGGUACCACACCGGUGGGAAUGGAUUUAUUUAUUCUGCUGAACUGGUUAAGCAAGCAGCCUGUUUCUUUCCAGCCUUAGCAAGGAUAUCAUCUGGGUCCAGUUUAUUUGCCAAACAAAGAAUAUAUACACUCGGUAUAUGUGAGCCUUCAGGGUGGGGCAUGGCCCUUAAUUUUCCUUCUUUAGUGGCUGUGGUUGGGUUGAGCCUUUGGUGGAUACUCGGUAAAUACUAGUUAAUUUGGGUGGAGUGGCAAAGCGAUAUGGAUUCUUUUUUUUUUUUUUUUUGUCUUUUGUCUUUUUAGGGCCACAUCUACAGCAUAUGGAGGUUCCCAGGCUAGGGGUCGAAUCAGAGCUACAGCUGCCGGCCUACACCACAGCCGCAGCAAUGCAGGAUCCAAUCUGUGUCUGCGACCUACACCAGAGCUCAUAGCAACACUGGAUCCUUAACCCACUGAGUGAAGCCAGGGAUUGAACCUGCAACCUCAUGGUUCCUAGUCAGAUUCGUUUCUGCUGUGCCACAAUGGGAACUCCGACUUUCUUUUCUUUUUCUAAAUAUAGUAGCUCUUUGGAGUUCCCAUUAUGGAUCAGUGGGUUACAAACCCACCUAGUAUCCAUGAGGAGGCAGGUUCGAUCCCUCGCCUUGCUCAGUAGGUUAAGGAUCUGGUGUAGGCCGGUAGCUGCAGCUCCGAUUUGACCCAUACCCUGGGAACUUCCAUAUGCCACAGGUGCAGCCCUGAAAAAGGGGAAAAACAGCUGUUCAUCAUAGAAAAUUUAGAAAAUAAAAAAGUAUAUAAAAAAAGAACUAUAAUUCUGCCAACAUGACAUAAUCACUGCAAACAUUUGGGCCUGUUUCCUUCCUGAUAUUUUCAGCACUUUUUUUUUUCCCCGCCCACAUAAUUGUGGUCAUAUCGUGUUUGUAAUCAUCUAUUCUGACUCUUCAUUUUUUUCCAACAUUAUAACAUAAAUAUUUUCUCACGUUAUUUAGGACUUUAAUUUUUUAAAGAGUUUUAAAAUUAUACUAUAUCCAAGUAGAUAAAUGUGUGUUUAUUUAAAAAAUCUUUUAUCCCAGUACUCUGGGGAGUUAAAGAAAUGAAAUAAUGCAUUUUAUUUGUAAAAACAGGUUUUAUGCUUUGUUUUUAAAAUGAUGAUGGCUGGCCUGCUUUUUAAGAAUCAUUCUUUAUUAUUAUAUCUAUCGUGUAAAUGGCUCACUUAACUGAUUCUCUUAUUAGUAGGCAUUCAGACUGUUUAUAAACAGUGCUGUGAUUAACAUCCUAGUGCAUAAAUUAAUCUUCUUCCAUUAUUUUCUAGAACAAAGUCCAAGAAAUGGAGUCGUUGGGUCAAAAAUGACAUGUUUCCAUCUUUUGUUACAUUUUGCCAAAUUGCAGCUGUGGUGUAGGUCACUGUUGGGGCUCAGAUCCUGUGGCUGUGGCUGUGGGAUAGGCCAGCAGCUCCAGCUCCAAUUUGACCC
rnacentral:lncRNA from 1 species